CAUUUGCGGCCGAUUUUAGGUGAUUGUUCCUGAAAACAUCAGGAAUAAUAAAAGGGAAUCCGGUGAAAAACCGGAGCUGUACCCGCAGCUGUAAGCCCUGUUGAAGGAUUGAAAAAUUCUUUUGCCACUGUACCGAAUUUUCGGAACGGGAAGGCAUUUCAAUCCGGGGCGAGCCAGAAAACCUGCCAAAAUCAGUAAUAUAUA
rnacentral:ncRNA from 1 species